CGGAAACAGAGGAAGUAGUCUUCCCCGCCUUGGGCCUCAAGCCAGCCACCCCACACCGCCAGUCUCCUCCACGCCAUCGCCACCUGCACGAAGAGCGUCGCUGGGCACUACACGUCACUCCAGGUCUGCCGUUUUCCUCACACAGCCCGGUGUCCAUUGCAUGCCAUCCUUCUUCCUCUUGGCGUUACUUUGUUUAUGGUCUUGUAUUUUUUAGUGUAAGCUUCUUACGCGCCCUCUGUUCCCUUCGUGUAUUAUUUCUCAAGCAUAGUGUAAUCUUGUUUUACAUUUAUGCUCUUGAUAUUUGGAGGCUAUAUACGAAUAUUUGUUGGUUCAGUUUCUUCUUUGUGCUUGUUUGAAGUAGAACCUAUUUUAUGAUGGCCUUGUUUUAGGUCUCAAAUUAAUUUGUAUUUGUACUGAUAUUAUUUUAUUUAAAUUAUUUGAAGUAUCUAUUUAGAACUUGAUUUCACAGAAAACAUUAAGGUAUCUUCAUUAUAUUAUUUAGUAUUAAUUUUACAAGUUGAUUUUAGUAGUAUUCUUAAUUAAGAAGUUUUAAUUGCAUUGAGUAUUAUUAGACUUCUUGUAAAGUUGAAUAAUUAUGUUAAUUCUAAGAAAAUGAACCUAUUUUAAGAGAGAAUGUUUUCACAUCUUAUUUAUGGGAGCUUAUAGUAAUCAAGUAUUCUAUAUAUAUAUAUAUGUUGUUAGUAUUUUAAACAAGUGUAUUUAUUGACUUUCAUGAUUAACUAAAUAUUUUUUUUGGUUAUCUUUUCCGGUAUGAAUUCGAUUAUGUUUUACAGUAUGAAUUUGAUUAAGUGGAUAUUGAUGGAUUUGGAGAAUGAUGGUAUGUUAGGAAUUAUGAGAAUUUUAGGCUUUGAGGUAUUAAAAUAGGCAUUUUAUGUGUAAAUACGAGAUACUUAUUCAAUUGGAGAUUUAUUCAAGUGACAUGAAUUUUCUAUAGGUGAUUAUUGAUGUUCUUUUGGCACUGUUGUGAGAAAUUUAGAGAGGCUAAGAAGUACAGAUGAUUUUGGAUAUUUCAGCUGAGAAUCAGAUUAUGAAGCAUUGGGUGAAAUAAUUUAAGAAUGGUGGUUUAAGUUUACAGAGUUUCUAUAUGUGUGGUGGCGAAAUUUAUUAAGAAGUUUUAUUAUGUUUUGAAGACUUAGGAUUGUGGGAAAUUUAUUAUAUUGAAUAAAUUAGUUUGAAUCGCAA